rnacentral:snRNA from 1 species
GUGCUUGUUUUGGCAGAACAUUUAUUAAAUUCGAAUACAGAGAAGUCUAGACGGCCUCUACACACGGAUGACAUGCAAAUUUGUGAUACGUUCCAAGAAACA